rnacentral:rRNA from 1 species
GCUACACAUGCAGUCGAGCGGAACGAGAAGUAGCUUGCUACUUCGGCGUCGAGCGGCGGACGGGUGAGUAAUGCAUAGGAAGUUGCCCAGUAGAGGGGGAUAACCAUUGGAAACGAUGGCUAAUACCGCAUAACCUCUUCGGAGCAAAGCGGGGGACCUUCGGGCCUCGCGCUACUGGAUACGCCUAUGUGGGAUUAGCUAGUUGGUGAGGUAAUGGCUCACCAAGGCGACGAUCCCUAGCUGGUCUGAGAGGAUGAUCAGCCACACUGGGACUGAGACACGGCCCAGACUCCUACGGGAGGCAGCAGUGGGGAAUAUUGCACAAUGGGCGAAAGCCUGAUGCAGCCAUGCCGCGUGUAUGAAGAAGGCCUUCGGGUUGUAAAGUACUUUCAGUUGUGAGGAAGGGUGUGUAGUUAAUAACUGCGCAUUUUGACGUUAGCAACAGAAGAAGCACCGGCUAACUCCGUGCCAGCAGCCGCGGUAAUACGGAGGGUGCGAGCGUUAAUCGGAAUUACUGGGCGUAAAGCGCAUGCAGGUGGUUUGUUAAGUCAGAUGUGAAAGCCCGGGGCUCAACCUCGGAAGGUCAUUUGAAACUGGCAAACUAGAGUACUGUAGAGGGGGGUAGAAUUUCAGGUGUAGCGGUGAAAUGCGUAGAGAUCUGAAGGAAUACCAGUGGCGAAGGCGGCCCCCU